ensembl:snRNA U2 U2 spliceosomal RNA
AUCACUUCUCUGCCUUCUGGCUAAGAUCAAGUCUCGUAUCUGUUCUUAUUUCUAUCAAGCAAACAAAGAAAACCCAACUUGAAUUUCCCUUGGGACCAAUAAAGUUUCUACCUCCC